GCAUCCUUAGCUCAGUUGGAUAGAGCAACAACCUUCUAAGUUGGAGGUCACAGGUUCAAMUCCUGUAGRAUGCG
rnacentral:tRNA from 1 species